rnacentral:lncRNA from 1 species
UGAGAGAGAGAUAGACCCGGACGCUGGGAGCACGAGUAUUCUCCUUAGGAAUUAGCUACCACUACUAUAUAUGCCAAGUUUCUUGUAAGUACAGAGCACGAAGAUCUUUGCCGCCAUUCAGUUUCGUGUGUAGAGAGCCAAAGGAGACGGCGAUGGGGUUAUGGGGCUUGCUGUGGGGGCUGCCAGGGCCAUCGGGCUUCGGUUCGGCGUCCACUGCCGAGGAGGUCACCUCGGGCAUCGACGCCAGCCAUCUCACGGUCAUCGUCACA